GACGGAAGGUGCAAGCGUUGCUCGGAAUCACUGGGCGUAAAGGGCGCGUAGGCGGUCGUGACAAGUCACUUGUGAAAUCUCCGGGCUUAACUCGGAACGGUCAAGUGAUACUGUCGGACUAGAGUACAGAAGGGGCAACUGGAAUUCUCGGUGUAGCGGUGAAAUGCGUAGAUAUCGAGAGGAACACCUGCGGCGAAGGCGGGUUGCUGGGCUGAUACUGACGCUGAGGCGCGAAAAGCGUGGGUAGCAAACAGG
rnacentral:rRNA from 1 species